GGAAGGACGGGGCGGGGCUGCCGAAGGCACGAAGGGAUUCGGGUGGGGAUAUGGGGUCGGGGAGGGGAUGGGGGAAGGAGGACUAUGGCAAGAAGAAGGAAGCACGUGGCAUCCUCCAUUGCUCAGCAGUAUGUGUUCUGCAGUUUUCAGGGACCCUGACGAAUCGCCAGGGCUCUGGGACGAGAGCAUUUCGCCUUUGGAGCAUUCAGGGCUGUAUUCUUGAGAAGAAACAGGUGUGAUAGAAGGGUACAGGGAGGAUGGUCCGAUUUCAGGACCCGGGUACUGUGGAGGUACAGCAGAAUCUGGAAAAGGGUUAUUCGGACUCUUUGUCUGUAUGCUUUUUUCCACUUCUAAAAUCUGUUUUCGAGCUUGUAAAAAUAUUGGAAUAAAAAGAAGCUUUAUGAUCUCCAGUAACUGUCCAAUUUGAUCCCAAAAUGAAACGGAAUUCAUAUCUUGAACGGUAUAAUUUGGUAAUUCAACUGUCAGCCAGCAGCCAAAGUGAACUAGGAGUUUAUUUGGGAAUGUAACAUUAAUUUAAAUAUUGUUAAGGUGUUUUAAUGUACUCUUUUGCUGGACUGAUAACUCUACGCCCAUUUUUUAAACUUUAUAUCUCCAGUAUUUGCCUCCAGACAAAGCAGCACGAUUUUCCCCGCUUGCACAGAGAGCACAGGGAGCGGGGGCGGGGGUGGGGAGAGAAGCUGCGGGUGCCGAGACGCGGCAGCUGCCGCCGCUUUUCUGGCUCACCAGGGGCAGGGGAGAGAUAUCCCACCGCCUUCCCGGCUUUAGGUGCCCAUCCCGUGCUGUCCCCACCCCCGAAACGCGAGCUCUGUCGGUCGGUCGGGGCGGCUCCACCGCCACUGAGCUUCGAUCCGAAGAAAAACUCGCAUAAGCCCGCCCAUUGUUACAAACUUCGACUGCUGGGUCCUAGCUUACCCGAGCUGCAGUUUCCACAGUCUCUAUGGUAACACCUCCCCCCAGCUAGGGGUUUUUCCCGGGAUAAACCGUAUGCGACGGGUCUUACCACUCGUUUUGGAUUGUGGGUGUCUUGUAGCAGUGGCCGGAGUCCGUGCUCCGGGUCGGCUUUCCUUGGUGCUGAGGUCCUCUUCUAUUGAUGACUGGAACAGAAAAGGCAAAUCUUGGAGCGUCAUCAGGAUGAAGUGGGAUGUGGAAAAAACAGUCCUUUAAAUCAAUGACAACAAGUGGCCAAUGUUUCAGGAUCAUUGAUAAAGAAGGAAGUCCAGGUUGAAGAGGUCCCAUGUCUUCAAUCAUUUCAUUGAUUCUUCUCAGAUCAUGAAGCAACCUCCAGGAGUCUGAUGUCUUCUUAUGGAUGAUGAAUACUGGUGAAUUCAAGGGGCUGUUCUUGGGAGUGAUGGGACCUUGCUGUAAUUGUUCCUUUAGUAAUUUUUAAAGAAUAUUUAAUUUUUUCUCUGUUAAAGGCCAUUGAUCAAUCCAUAUAGGAUGAUCAAUUUUCCAGUUCAACUUUCAAGUGGCAGGUUUUGAAUUGGUUCCCAUCACAGGCUUACUUCCAGUUUUGCUCCCCACUGGGAUAGGACAUCUUUUCCCUAGACAGUAAGAGGCUUCUGAACAACAAAAGGACACACUGUUACUGUUUUUCCUUCAGGACCUGUAAUGUUAAUCAUGGAUGCAUUUUGCAAACACACAGUAGCACCUCCAAUCCCUGUGAGGGAACCUGCAGUCUCAUAAUCUGAAGGUCGUGAGUUCAAUCCUCACAUGGGGCACCAUUUAUCGCCUGUCGGGGGCUAAAUACAAGUCGCGAACGGGACGGGACUGCUGUGGUAUGCGUCUAGAGCUGUUUAUUUUUUAGCAUCAGUCUCAUUAUAUGGUUAUGACAAUGGGAAGAUGCCAGCAGCUCACAUCCAGGCAACAGAUCAAGAACUUAAUGUUACAACUUACUUUAUAAACUUUUUGACCAGUCACACAAAGCAAAAGCAUAUUGACAGUAGUUGUAUCCAAUCACUAUAAGCACGCAUACCUUUAGUUAAAACAAUACUUGUUUAUUUUGAAUACAAUACUUGCUUGUAAGCCUCGAGAUACAAUGCACAGAGCUCCAUUAUUAAGCUUAGACCUUCCUAAUAUCUCACCAGAUAUA